rnacentral:rRNA from 1 species
GAUGAACGCUGGCGGCGUGCCUAAUACAUGCAAGUCGAGCGAAUGGAUUAAGAGCUUGCUCUUAUGAAGUUAGCGGCGGACGGGUGAGUAACACGUGGGUAACCUGCCCAUAAGACUGGGAUAACUCCGGGAAACCGGGGCUAAUACCGGAUAACAUUUUGAACCGCAUGGUUCGAAAUUGAAAGGAGGCUUCGGCUGUCACUUAUGGAUGGACCCGCGUCGCAUUAGCUAGUUGGGGAGGUAACGGCUCACCAAGGCAACGAUGCGUAGCCGACCUGAGAGGGUGACCGGCCAAACGGGGACUGGGACACGGCCCAGACUCCUACGGGAGGCAGCAGUAGGGAAUCUUCCGCAAUGGACGAAAGUCUGACGGAGCAACGCCGCGUGAGUGAUGAAGGCUUGCGGGUCGUAAAACUCUGUUGUUAGGGAAGAACAAGUGCUAGUUGAAUAAGCUGGCACCUUGACGGUACCUAACCAGAAAGCCACGGCUAACUACGUGCCAGCAGCCGCCGUAA